rnacentral:rRNA from 1 species
GUGGGGAAUUUUGCACAAUGGGCGCAAGCCUGAUGCAGCGACGCCGCGUGAGGGAUGGAGGCCUUCGGGUUGUGAACCUCUUUCGCUCAUGGUCAAGCCGCAGUUUUGUCUGUGGUGAGGGUAGUGGGUAAAGAAGCGCCGGCUAACUACGUGCCAGCAGCCGCGGUAAUACGUAGGGCGCGAGCGUUGUCCGGAAUUAUUGGGCGUAAAGGGCUUGUAGGCGGCUUGUCGCGUCUGCCGUGAAAUCCUCUGGCUUAACUGGGGGCGUGCGGUGGGUACGGGCUGGCUUGAGUGCGGUAGGGGAGACUGGAAUUCCUGGUGUAGCGGUGGAAUGCGCAGAUAUCAGGAGGAACACCGGUGGCGAAGGCGGGUCUCUGGGCCGUUACUGACGCUGAGGAGCGAAAGCAUGGGGAGCGAACAGGAUUAGAUACCCUGGUAGUCC